GUCCUGCUAGAGAACACAACGAAGCUCCGUCGUCACGAUAAUUACAGAUCGAAAAAUUAUAAACAUCGUGGGAGUCCAUUGUAUAGAUGGCAUAGAUGGCGCAAUGCGCAACGCGAAAAGUCCACUUAGCCUCCUCGCUACCGAUGCAUCCGCCAUUUUGAGUUAUUUUGUGCUACCGAUGGCUGCGGAGUUUCGUCGUCUCGUUAAUUACAGUCGGAGAAUUUAGGAAACAGUACACACAAAGGGACGUAUACAAUCAAAGGACGUUUGCGAGCUCAGCCUUGGCACGACUUUCCCUCUUUGUCCUCUUCUUUGUUUCAUAAUAGUAUUACUCAGUUUUCAUAGUCGUGAGGACCUGUCUAGACGUGUUCGCAAAUGCUCCUGCUACAUUAAUUCUGUUUUUAUUCAUCAUAUUCAACUAAUCCAUCGACUUGGACACAUUCAACUACAACUAUCGUCUACUUUCUUCUAUGGAGGCUCUUCUUAUGCAGCAUGUACAAAAAUUUUAAUUACAUUUCAAUUAAUAUAUAAAAAACAGGAUAUUAAUUCUAAUAAAUUACAAUUGAAUAUACAGAUCUCAUAUACAUAUUGUACGUGUACGUCACACAUAUUUUAAUCAUAUUUUAUUCACACAUUUAUAUACAUAAAUGCAUUUACUUUUAUUCUAUAUUAACAAUAUUCUUAAAUUUUGUCAAUUUCUUAUUUAUUUUAUUCAAUUAGUCUGUCGACUUGAAUA